GACACCUACAUCUUACCUCAUGCCCUUGAGAAAAGCAGAUGCCUCCCACUCAAGUAGAUUCCAUCAGCUGUGAAAGUGAAUGAGUAUACGCUGCGUCUCCUCCUCCACUCCGUCUUCAUCAUCAGAGCCACUAAGUGUUUUUUUGUCUUUUUGCCGCCUCCUGCAUUUUCUUUGCUGCCUUUUUUGUCACUUUUUGGGUCCUUGUUGAUUUCUUUGGCUUUGUUUUAAUUUUGUUCGCAUUUUUUUUUACAUCAGCAACACAACACGUUGUGAACUGCAUUAAACAUUAAUAAGUUAAAUUUGUUACCAAUAAAAAGGGUAAUUUUAUAACCAA